rnacentral:rRNA from 1 species
GACGAACGCUGGCGGCGUGCUUAACACAUGCAAGUCGAACGCUGAAGCCUAGCUUGCUGGGUGGAUGAGUGGCGAACGGGUGAGUAACACGUGAGUAAUCUGCCCCUGACUGUGGGAUAAGCCCGGGAAACUGGGUCUAAUACCGCAUAGGACAUUCUGCCGCAUGGUGGGGUGUGGAAAGUUUUUUCGGUUGGGGAUGGGCUCGCGGCCUAUCAGCUUGUUGGUGGGGUAAUGGCCUACCAAGGCGACGACGGGUAGCCGGCCUGAGAGGGCGACCGGCCACACUGGGACUGAGACACGGCCCAGACUCCUACGGGAGGCAGCAGUGGGGAAUAUUGCACAAUGGGGGAAACCCUGAUGCAGCGACGCCGCGUGAGGGAUGACGGCCUUCGGGUUGUAAACCUCUUUUAGUAGGGAAGAAGCGAAAGUGACGGUACCUGCAGAAAAAGCACCGGCUAACUACGUGCCAGCAGCCGCCGU